UUUUAGCCCUGAUAGCAGCGACAUCCUUUUGUGGCGGGGUUCGCCACAAAAGAUAAAGCGGAUAGCAGGAUUAGCU
rnacentral:sRNA from 1 species